AUUGAACGCUGGCGGCAGGCCUAACACAUGCAAGUCGAGCGGAGAUGAGGUGCUUGCACCUUAUCUUAGCGGCGGACGGGUGAGUAAUGCUUAGGAAUCUGCCUAUUAGUGGGGGACAACAUUCCGAAAGGAAUGCUAAUACCGCAUACGCCCUACGGGGGAAAGCAGGGGAUCUUCGGACCUUGCGCUAAUAGAUGAGCCUAAGUCGGGUUAGCUAGUUGGUGGGGUAAAGGCCUACCAAGGCGACGAUCUGUAGCGGGUCUGAGAGGAUGAUCCGCCACACUGGGACGAAGACACGGCCCAGACUCCUACGGGAGGCAGCAGUGGUGAAUAUUUGACAAUGGGCGGAAGCCUGAUCCAGCCAUGCCGCGUGUGUGAAGAAGGCCUUUUGGUUGUAAAGCACUUUAAGCGAGGAGGAGGCUACCUGGAUUAAUACUCUAGGAUAGUGGACGUUACUCGCAGAAUAAGCACCGGCUAACUCUGUGCCAGCCGCCGCGGUAAAAC
rnacentral:rRNA from 1 species